CACCUGCAAUCAAUUAACACAAACACAACCAAUUAGUUCAAACUGACCAAUAGCAAGCUCACAAUCUCAUUGCUAUCAUAUUUAAUUUAAUUGAGGCACCUCCAUCUUGUUACAGAACUCCAAGAUUUCCUUUGGCUGAGAAGGUACUGAACAUGCUCUCAAAAUGUUGGUGCCCGGAAAAUACAUGUUUCUGAGUCCAGUUGGGGGCAGUAAAGCAACAUAUCGGAUGCCAACUGCUGAGAAACUCCAAAGAUUUCCCCUGUUCACCCAUGCCAGUGAGGCCUGAUCGCUGAAGUAGACAAACUGAGACACUUGGAGGCUCAGCUGAACUCUUCGGCGCAACAGAGCUUUGGGGGCCAAUUUCUUUGCCACAGAAAGGAAUGUGCAAACUGAAAGACAAUGAAGAAAUCAAAGUUUUAAUUGACUGCCAAAGAGGUUGAAUUUCAAACUGAAGUGAUCGAAAUGAAGAAAGUGAUUGAAGGUAUAUUCACAGAUCCAGUGAAGGGAGUCUACUACUUCACAUUAUGUACGUUUGUCUACAAUGACCACAAGGGUGCUGAUGGUGACAAUGCGGCCAUUUUGAAUCUGAAUAAUGGGGACAGGGUCUGUGUGGAACUGUGGGAACAGUGCCAGGUGUAAGACAACAAUGAUGGGCACACUAGCUUCAGUGUGUAAAAUAGAUGUUAUAACCUGUAAAUGAGAAUUACCUCCCUGCCAUGAAAUGCACACUAGGGGUGUGUCCCAAUAAUCUGUGUGUGUACUCUCACUAAAACCAUUGGAUUGGCAGAGGCAUGGGCUAGUGGUAAUUUCCAACAUAUUUCUUAUUCCAUUCAGCAGUAAUUCCCUCUAAAUUAGUGAUGGGAGGUGAACAAGUGCACACUUUGGGAGUUAUGAGCGCUAAUUGGGACAAAGCCUCUCUCUGAAAUGAAGCAGGAAUUAUCUUGACGGUGACUGAAUUUUGUGAGAAUUAACUCCACUGUAUACCUAUGCUGAAUCCCAAACCAGCCCUGUUUUCUCAUGGACUGCUCUUGCAAGUUGUAUUUCCUCUUAAAGUUUGCAUAUCCACAGUAUUUCUGACUUUUUUUUUGUGAUUUGUUUAUGGAAAAGCCUGGAUUAUAAUGUAUGAACUUUUCAUGCCUCCAUGUUAUUUUUCUAUGCUGUUAAUUGAGUUUAGUGUUUUUUUUAAAUGACUGAUUAACUGUAGACAUUGUUUUUGAACCGUUGAACUUCAGUAUGCCAAUGCAAUUCAUUAGACAUUUUCAGACUGACUGUCAUGUGGUCCUCAGUGUUCUCUGUAUAAUAAUAUACUUUCCAUCUUCUCUAAAAUAAGGUGCAUCUUUGCCUUGAGCCACCAGGUAUAUUUUUAGAGUGAAUAGGAUGACCUUAAUUUACUCUUGGGUACUGUCCUAGAAUCCAGAAAAGUAAUUUAAAAUAUUACAUUUUGAGCCACAAAGAUGCAGCGACUUCUUCCUGCAAAGGUUGUUCAGAGUGUUGUUUUAUCUAGACUUACUCAAAAACACUGACAGUUUGGAUGGAUUCAUUCUUAAUUAAAUAUUUAGUGAGUUCAGGAGAUCUUUUUGAACCUUAUGCAUUGGAAAAAUGUCUGACAAAAUGUAGAAAUGGAGACAAAUGAAUAGACAAGAUGAUGGGCCAAUUUUAACGUCCGCCACAAAGUGGUCAGGGUGUAUAACAACAUCCUAUUGUACUGGGCCCAGUUUCCCAAUUGCAUCUUAAAGCUAAUUUCGUUAGAACCUUGGUAGGAGCGAUGUUAAUUCUAAGCUGUUUCCCAAACCACCGUUGCUAAAGUUGAUCUUGAAAAUGCUCGUUAUUUAACCAUUGCCUCAAACCAACCAGAUACUUUUUUUUUUGCCCUUCCGCAUCACUGUAUAAACAAAAUCAAGAUGUUUCUGUCUUUCUGUGACUGCAGAUAACUUCAGAACGAAUGUGACUACAAAUUUGCGAAUUUUGUUGCAAUUGGUACUAACAAGUGCAAGAUAUAAAGAUGCUUCAAAUGAAAACCGAAAUCACCUAAUUAGUCUAGGCUACAUAGACCUACAUAUUUUAGAAUUUUAAGGUAUUUGUGCGCUACUAUCUGUAAUAUAUGCCUCGAAUAUAGUUCAUGAUUAGUAACGUGUGCAAUGAUGUGCCUUAACUUGAUUUAGUGCAUAAUUAUUGGGUUAAGCGUUAAGCAUUAGAAUAAGCCACCUCAAUAUUGUAGAUGUAGGUGAUUAAACUCUUUAGGAGCUGAUCCGUCAUUGGUAUUGUUGAAUAAUUCUAAUGUGAAAGGGAGGAUGCUGAUCUGAGAGCAGUGCUGCCUUUCUUUUGAUCCUUUCAGUAUCGACACAAGCCUCAACACACACAUAUUGAAUGUUUUCUGCGUGGUGUUUUGGGAAACGAAUGUUACAACUUUGGCCAUUGUAGGAAAGAUGCAUUGUUAAAACACUCGUAACCCAAAGUUUCAUUGCUAUCAGGAAACUAAGCCCUGUUCUUGUGAAG
ensembl:lncRNA